rnacentral:rRNA from 1 species
AUUGAACGCUGGCGGCAGGCCUAACACAUGCAAGUCGAACGGUAACAGGAAACAGCUUGCUGUUUCGCUGACGAGUGGCGGACGGGUGAGUAAUGUCUGGGAAACUGCCUGAUGGAGGGGGAUAACUACUGGAAACGGUAGCUAAUACCGCAUAACGUCGCAAGACCAAAGAGGGGGACCCUCGGGCCUCUUGCCAUCGGAUGUGCCCAGAUGGGAUUAGCUUGUUGGUGGGGUUACGGCUCACCAAGGCGACGAUCCCUAGCUGGUCUGAGAGGAUGACCAGCCACACUGGAACUGAGACACGGUCCAGACUCCUACGGGAGGCAGCAGUGGGGAAUAUUGCACAAUGGGCGCAAGCCUGAUGCAGCCAUGCCGCGUGUAUGAAGAAGGCCUUUGGGUUGUAAAGUACUUUCAGCGGGGAGGAAGGGAGUAAAGUUAAUACCUUUGCUCAUUGACGUUACCCGCAGAAGAAGCACCGGCUAACUCCGUG